UGCGGGGUCGGCUAAUUGGUAGGCCACGGGGCUUUGAACCCCGGUAUGGAGGUUCGAACCCUCCCCCCGCAACCA
rnacentral:tRNA from 1 species